UACAGAGGGUGCGAGCGUUACUCGGAAUUACUGGGCGUAAAGCGCACGUAGGUGGCGACGUAAGUCGGGUGUGAAAGCCCCCGGCUCAACCGGGGAGGGUGGCUGGAAACUGGCGUUCUUGAGGGCGAGAGAGGAGGGUGGAAUUCCUGGUGUAGCGGUGAAAUGCGUAGAGAUCAGGAGGAACACCCGGGGCGAAGGCGGCCCUCUGGCUCGACCCUGACGCUGAGGCGCGAAAGCGUGGGGAGCGAACGGG
rnacentral:rRNA from 1 species